CGGUCAUGGAGAGUCUCCAUCCAGCUGGAUCUCUGUCUCAGAGAAAUCCUCCACAUCUUCUCCAACAACCACUCCUUCUCCCACAUCAAGCUCUCCAGCCUCAUCCCACUUUCUUCCCUAUGGACUACUUUCUCUAAUAUGUGCCAUUGUUGUGGUUUUACUGCUGGUUUUAGUCGUGAUACAUCAUGUUAACAGAAAAUGUAAAGGUAAUCAGGAAGACGGAGAGGAAAGUAUCACAUACAGCGAUGUUAAAAUAUUACAGCAUAGACAACGGACAAACAAACCAAGCCAGGACUGCAGCGUAGGUCCAGAGGUUCUGACUUUACGGACCUCGCCCCAGAACGACCUCCAGCAAGUCGGGUUUUCUGAGAGAACCACCACUUCAACGCAUCACCAAGAGAAAUAAACACCCUGAGGGAUUUAAAAUGGUUCAGUAAGGUGGAAAACUGGUUGAAACCAGACCUGGGAUCUGUCUGUACCAAACAAUAAGAAAACCCAGAACCACAGAGAUGCUGGAUCCAGUGAC